AAUCGAUUAUAUGACCGGCGGAAGUGGAAUAACCACAGGGAGUAUGAUUUUGAUAGAGAGCCGACCGCCUGGGCAAAUUUA
rnacentral:ncRNA from 2 species